UCAGCGUACUUUGCUAUUUUUGACUUGUGUAACACUAGUGACAUGUCAUUUGUAUAUAUAGUGUGUAUAGUUUAAACCCUCCCGCUCUCUGAUUAGUCUGUUUAAACCCUCCCGCUCUCUGAUUGGUCCGUUUAAACCCUCCCGCUCUCUGAUUAGUCUGUUUAAACCCUCCCGCUCUCUGAUUGGUCCGUUUAAACCCUCCCCCUCUCUGAUUGGCAGUUCCUGAAGACCAUCUCUGUGAUUUCUGUUCCUGAACAAACAGGAUGUUUUGGCCGACAAGAUUCUGGCGGGAAAAUCCAAACUGGAGGAUUACUUUCCCGAGUACACAAACUACAGCGUCCCGCCGGACUCGGAGCCAGUCGCCGACGAAGAUCCUAUCGUCACUUCGAGCCAAGUUCUUCAUCAGAGACGAGUUCCUGGUAA
rnacentral:lncRNA from 1 species